rnacentral:lncRNA from 1 species
ACCUAUAGAAGUUCUUCAUCAGCAACCAUUUGAUUUACCAACCGAAGGAAGCAGAUCUGAUUGACACAUUCGAAUUCAACCUUCUAGAACAUAUAGCAAAGCCUAAAAAACCAACCGCUUCAAUCUCAUGUUGUUACUGGGGAUGAUGAUGAUGGUUGAAGAUGGUCAUGUCCUUGAAGAUCUGGGUUUGAAGAUGAUGUGUUCUUGAAAAUGAUGAUGUGUGUUUGAAGAUGAUGAUGUAUUUGUAACACCCCGUGUUUUCGAAUGUCAAAGUCAAAGUCCAAGUCAACUUUGACUUUCCUUGACUGUAAAUAUCGAUUUUAUGUUUUAGUUGUAUUAUGUGGAGUAAGUGUUGUAAUCAGCAAGAAUCGAGGUAAUCGAAUGUGUU